rnacentral:rRNA from 1 species
GCGUAAGAGCUCGUAGGUCGUUUGUCGCGUCGAUUGUGAAAAUCUGAGGCUCAACCUCAGACCUGCAGUCGAUACGGGCAAACUAGAGUGUGGUAGGGGAGACUGGAAUUCCUGGUGUAGCGGUGGAAUGCGCAGAUAUCAGGAGGAACACCAAUGGCGAAGGCAGGUCUCUGGGCCAUAACUGACACUGAGGAGCGAAAGUGCGGGGAGCGAACAGGAUUAGAUACCCUGGUAGUCCGCACCGUAAACGGUGGGCACUAGUUGUGGGAACCUUCCACGGUUUCCGCGACGCAGCAAACGCAUUAAGUGCCCCGCCUGGGGAGUACGAUCGCAAGAUUAAAACUCAAAGGAAUUGACGGGGCCCCGCACAAGCAGCGGAGCAUGCGGCUUAAUUCGACGCAACGCGAAGAACCUUACCAAGGCUUGACAUAUAGCGAAAAGUGGCAGAGAUGUCAUGUCCGCAAGGGCGCUAUACAGGUGGUGCAUGGUUGUCGUCAGCUCGUGUCGUGAGAUGUUGGGUUAAGUCCCGCAACGAGCGCAACCCUCGUUCUGUGUUACCAGCAUUAAGUUGGGGACUCACAGGAGACUGCCGGGGUCAACUCGGAGGAAGGUGGGGAUGACGUCAAAUCAUCAUGCCCCUUAUGUCUUGGGCUGCACGCAUGCUACAAUGGCCGGUAC